rnacentral:rRNA from 1 species
UACGUAGGGUGCAAGCGUUAAUCGGAAUUACUGGGCGUAAAGCGUGCGCAGGCGGUUUUGUAAGACUGUCGUGAAAUCCCCGGGCUCAACCUGGGAACUGCAUUGGAAACUGGCGAGCUUGAAUGCGGCAGAGGGGGGGUGGAAUUCCGCGUGUAGCAGUGAAAUGCGUAGAUAUCGGGAGGAACACCGGUGGCGAAGGCGGCGACCUGGGUCGACACUGACGCUGA